rnacentral:rRNA from 1 species
GAUGAACGCUAGCGGCAGGCUUAAUACAUGCAAGUCAAGGGGGUAGCAAUACAACCGGCGCCCGGGUGAGUAACGCGUACACAACAUACCAUAUACUGGAGUAUAGCUUUGGGAAACUGAAGGUAAUCCUCCAUAACAUUGCGAGAGGGCAUCUGAUUGCAAUUAAAGUUUCGGCGGUAUAUGAUUGGUGUGCGUUUGAUUAGCUAGUUGGUAGGGUAACGGCCUACCAAGGCGACGAUCAAUAGCUGGCGUGAGAGCGCGACCAGCCACACUGGAACUGAGACACGGUCCAGACUCCUACGGGAGGCAGCAGUAGGGAAUAUUGGACAAUGGAGGAAACUCUGAUCCAGCCAUGCCGCGUGAUAGAUGAAGGCCCUCUGGGUUGUAAAUAUCUUUUAUCUGGGAAGAAACACUCCUAUUCUUAGGAACUUGACGGUACCAGAGGAAUAAGCACCGGCUAACUCCGUGCCAGCAGCCGCGGUAAAGUAUCG